rnacentral:lncRNA from 1 species
CAGGUGUCCGCCAGACGGCGCCAAAGCGCCGGCAGAGCUGCUCUGGCUCUGCCUGGCUGCAACUCCAGGCUCAGAAUGGGCCUGGAGCAGGAUGGAAGGAAACGCAAGGAGGGCCCAGACAGAGCCUUGUGUUGGUACCGGGUACCUGUGACGUGUGGCCGUUUUGUGUCAACAUGCAGUCUGUGCCCCAGCAACUGGAGCGCUGGACGGGCCGUCGAGGGCCUGCGUGCCCUUUGCUCCUUGGGGGCACGGCGCUGGGACCCAGGAGGACCCGGCUUGAGUCCUGGACAUGCGGAUUUCUAGAGUCAGGCAGGGGAGGCAUCCGGCCUCUGGAAGGCUGGGCUUCAGGUAGUGAAGGCGGUGUGUCACUGCGGUGGUAUCUGGGGAGGCGUGCCGAGCCUCUCCGUGUGCGCGUCCCCUCCAGAAAUCUCCACAUCCCCCUGCUUCUCUCUCCACCAGAGCCGCCUCUCCCUCUGCCGACUGCCUGCCUGCCUGCCUGCCUGCCUGCCUGUGCCAAGAAGCCUACCCGAAUCGAGGGAAAGAGAGAACGAUGCCCGGGAGCGCCUUAACUUCACGCCGGGCGCAAGGGCGGAAGGGGGCCGAUUGGUUGACAGCCGGCUGCCUUGCCUUAAGAAGCAGGGCGUCUGAUGUCAAGCCGCCUCUCCCUCUGCCGACUGCCUGCCUGCCUGCCUGCCUGCCUGCCUGUGCCAAGAAGCCUACCCGAAUCGAGGGAAGAGAGAACGAUGCCCGGGAGCGCCUUAACUUCACGCCGGGCGCAAGGGCGGAAGGGGGCCGAUUGGUUGACAGCCGGCUGCCUUGCCUUAAGGAGCAGGGCGUCUGAUGUCAAGCCGCCUCUCCCUCUGCCGACUGCCUGCCUGCCUGCCUGCCUGCCUGCCUGUGCCAAGAAGCCUACCCGAAUCGAGGGAAGAGAGAACGAUGCCCGGGAGCGCCUUAACUUCACGCCGGGCGCAAGGGCGGAAGGGGCCGAUUGGUUGACAGCCGGCUGCCUUGCCUUAAGAAGCAGGGCGUCUGAUGUCAGUGAGUGGGGCGGUUUCGUUGGGGCGAGAGGCCUGGCCGACCUU